UGGGGGAUAUUGCACAAUGGAGGAAACUCUGAUGCAGCAACGCCGCGUGAAGGAAGAAGGUUUUCGGAUUGUAAACUUCUAUCAGCAGGGAAGAAAAUGACUGUACCUGACUAAGAAGCCCCGGCUAACUACGUGCCAGCAGCCGCGGUAAUACGUAGGGGGCAAGCGUUAUCCGGAAUUACUGGGUGUAAAGGGUACGUAGGCGGUUUAUUAAGUCAGAUGUGAAAGCCCGAGGCUCAACCUCGGGAUUGCAUUUGAAACUGGUAAACUAGAGUACAGGAGAGGUAAGUGGAAUUCCUAGUGUAGCGGUGAAAUGCGUAGAUAUUAGGAGGAACACCAGUGGCGAAGGCGACUUACUGGACUGUAACUGACGCUGAGGUACGAAAGCGUGGGGAGCGAACA
rnacentral:rRNA from 2 species